CAUAAACAAAACAUACUUACGUAUAAUUAAACAAAAUAUAGUUCCAAUUUCAUAUUCUUUCAAACCGAGUCACAAAAGGGACUCUCGCAUCUACAAGGAUGAAGUUGGUGGUUUUCAUCACGUUCUUGCUUUUGUCACCAUUGUGUUCUCUAGGGUUUGAGGAGGACCGUGGAGUUACUCAUACUGAUCAUUAUUCCUCAGACAAUGUUGUAGACAGUAUUGAGAACCUGAUGGACUAUCCACCAGUAGGUCCCAACGUACCUGGUGGGCAUCGUGCCAGACCUGGACGUCCUCCGCGUCCCAUGAUAUGAUGAGGAUGUAGAACCAAAAAUAUUCACUCUUAAUGGGCUCAAUAAUUUCGGCCCAACAGAGGAACCCUUAAUUUAGAAGAAACAAAAAAAUCUAUGUAUGGAAAAGAAAAAAACACAAAAACAACAUCUAUGUAAUAUU